GGUCACUGUGUAUAAAAAUGGGCCUU
rnacentral:piRNA from 1 species